UACGUAGGGGGGCAAGCGUUGUCCGGAUUUAUUGGGCGUAAAGAGCGUGUAGGCGGCCAGGUAGGUCGGUUGUGAAAACUGGAGGCUCAACCUUCAGAGGUCGACCGAAACCAUCUGGCUAGAGUCCGGGAGAGGAGAGUGGAAUUCCUGGUGUAGCGGUGAAAUGCGCAGAUAUCGGGAGGAACACCGGUGGCGAAGGCGGCGACCUGGGUAGAUACUGACGCUGAGGUGCGAAAGCGUGGGGAGCAAACAGG
rnacentral:rRNA from 1 species